AGUGAACGCUGGCGGCAGGCCUAACACAUGCAAGUCGAACGGCAGCACAGUAAGAGCUUGCUCUUACGGGUGGCGAGUGGCGGACGGGUGAGGAAUACAUCGGAAUCUACUUUUUCGUGGGGGAUAACGUAGGGAAACUUACGCUAAUACCGCAUACGACCUACGGGUGAAAGUAGGGGAUCUUCGGACCUUGCGCGAUUGAAUGAGCCGAUGUCGGAUUAGCUAGUUGGCGGGGUAAAGGCCCACCAAGGCGACGAUCCGUAGCUGGUCUGAGAGGAUGAUCAGCCACACUGGAACUGAGACACGGUCCAGACUCCUACGGGAGGCAGCAGUGGGGAAUAUUGGACGAUGGGCGCAAGCCUGAUCCAGCCAUACCGCGUGGGUGAAGAAGGCCUUCGGGUUGUAAAGCCCUUUUGUUGGGAAAGAAAAGCAGCAGGUUAAUACCCCGCUGUUCUGACGGUACCCAAAGAAUAAGCACCGGCUAACUUCGUG
rnacentral:rRNA from 1 species